GAGAGGCUAGCGUUGGAUGGGUUUAAGCGGGGUAGGGGUAGGCCGAAGAAGUACUGGGGUGAGGUGAUUAGGCGAGACAUGGAGCAGUUACAGCUCACCGAGGACAUGACCCUAGAUAGGAAGGUCUGGAGGACGCGAAUCAGGGCAGUGGACUAGGGCCAGUCUGAGUCGCUAGUAUAGGGAACUACUUGGUGGGGGUUUAUUCCUGUUAGGAGUCCGUGUCCCAUGUUUUAUUAUGAAGCUGUGUGCUUUCCUCUGUUUUAUAUUACUUAUGGGUGCCGUAUUUAUGUUAUGUAAUCUUGUAACCUUGUGCUGUGCUUUACUAUGUGUUUGUGUGGUACCGCGUGUCUCGAGCCGGGGGUCUAUCGGAAACAGCCUUUCUACUUCUUCAGAGGUAGAGGUAUGGACUGCGUACAUCCUACCCCCCCAGACCCCACCAGGUGGGAAUACACUGGGUUUGUUGUUGUUGUUG
rnacentral:lncRNA from 1 species